GACGAACCGUGCGAACGUUAUUCGGAAUCACUGGGCUUAAAGCGCGUGUAGGCGGGAAGGUACGUCCGUCGCUGAAAUCCCCCGGCUCAACCGGGGAACGGGCGCGGAUACGGCCAUCCUGGGAGGGGCGUAGGGGGACCUGGGAACUUCCGGUGGAGCGGUGAAAUGCGUUGAGAUCGGAAGGAACGCCCGUGGCGAAAGCGAGGUCCUGGACGCCUACUGACGCUGAGGACGCGAAAGCCAGGGGAGCGAACGGG
rnacentral:rRNA from 1 species